rnacentral:rRNA from 1 species
UACGGGGGGGGCAAGCGUUGUUCGGAAUUACUGGGCGUAAAGGGCGCGUAGGCGACUUUGCAAGUGACGGGUGAAAUCCCUCGGCUUAACCGAGGAACUGCCUGUCAGACUGCAUGGCUUGAGACCGGGAGAGGUGAGUGGAAUUCCCAGUGUAGCGGUGAAAUGCGCAGAUAUCAGGAGGAACACCGAUUGCGAAGGCAGCUCGCUGGAACGUUACUGACGCUGAGACGCGAAAGCGGUGGGAGCAAACAGG